rnacentral:rRNA from 1 species
GAUGAACGCUAGCUACAGGCUUAACACAUGCAAGUCGAGGGGCAGCGGGAUUGAAGCUUGCUUCAAUUGCCGGCGACCGGCGCACGGGUGAGUAACGCGUAUCCAACCUUCCGUACACUCAGGGAUAGCCUUUCGAAAGAAAGAUUAAUACCUGAUGGUAUGAUGAGAUUGCAUGAUAGCAUCAUUAAAGAUUUAUCGGUGUACGAUGGGGAUGCGUUCCAUUAGGUAGUAGGCGGGGUAACGGCCCACCUAGCCUACGAUGGAUAGGGGUUCUGAGAGGAAGGUCCCCCCACAUUGGAACUGAGACACGGUCCAAAACUCCUACGGGAGGCAGCAGUGAGGAAUAUUGGUCAAUGGACGAGAGUCUGAACCAGCCAAGUAGCGUGAAGGAUGAAGGUCCUACGGAUUGUAAACUUCUUUUAUAAGGGAAUAAAGUGGGAGUCGUGACUCUUUUUGCAUGUACCUUAUGAAUAAGGACCGGCUAAUUCCGUGCCAG